rnacentral:snRNA from 1 species
UUACCUUCGGUUGUACUUCUACUAAAACUGGAACAAGAUUAGCAAGGCCUCUGCGUAAGGAAGAUACGCAAAUUUGCGAACCGUUUCACAUUUUA